rnacentral:lncRNA from 1 species
CAGGGACCGAGGAGGGGACCGCAGCCUGUGGCGUGGAGGAGGCAGCAGAGCCCCGGAGCCCAGCAGGGCAGAGACAGUGCGGCUGGUGAGGGACCUGGGACAGCAGCUGCAGGUGCCCGACCAGGACCAUCCCGCCAUCCGUGUGGCCCGAACACAGAGUCCAGAGGCUGGAGGGAGGGGAUUGCAGCCCGGCCAGCAUCUCCAGAGGCCCCAGUGAGGGGGUUUUGUCCCCAAUGGAGCCACAACCCUGCACCGGCCCUGGCUGCGUGGGGGCUGGGUCACGCUGACCAGACCUCUCCUCCUCCAGGAAGCCUCCUGCCUUGCCCCUUGCAUGGCCCGGCCUCGUCUGUGCUGUGUCUGUCUGUCCCUGGACACUGAGCUCCUCGUGGGGUGGGGACCCGGCUGGCUGCCUCCCCCAGGCCCCAGCGCCAGCGUCCGCAGAGGCCCAACACAUCGCUGUGCGUUAAUCGGGCAACUGGAGUUUGGGGACGUCGACAGAAGCCGCAGGUGCCCUCACUGUGGGCUGGAGAACGUCCCUCUCCGGGGGUAGGAUCCGCUCCUCCGCCAACAUCGCACACACUCCUGACUCGUCCUCUGAGCCAGGCUGCACUCAGGAUGCCGGGCGCACGGCUGCGCAAAACAGAAGCCUCGUCUUUACGGCACCUACACCUGCCGGGAGCCCAGCAGCAGAGCUCCAGCGGAUCUGCCAAGCUUUAUGAUGCCAGGUUGCGG